UCAGGACUGUCUCUAUAAAAUCAGGACAUCUGGUCACCCUAAUUUUACCUCCCAUCCCAGGCCUCCCUUAGAACAGACAGUUGGCCAGUGUGGGUCUCUCGGGGGCUCAAGGAAAGCUUAGAAGUGAACGUAAGAAACCUAUUCUAGGCUUGCAGCAAAUCUCAGCCGAUUCUUCUUUCUGAAUGUGCUGCUUAUGCACCAAAUGCCUGACUCUCUCCUGUGAAGGAUCUGAGUUGGGCAUUCAAAUACAGACGGGACCCUCCCGAGGGGCCUGGGUAUUUGCUUGCCCACUCUGAGAGUGCUCCCGGGUCACCCCUACUUUUUUAUUUAGGAAAUUCAACCUAUUGCCCAGGUCCUGAACGUGCAAGGGGACAAGCACUCUGGUCCAGAUCCAGCAAAGCAUUGAAUGACACGCUUAACUGUCAGCAUGUGAGUAGUUAAAGUUAAGCACGUGCUUAAAUGCUUUGGCCUUGAUCCGAAAACGUGCUUCUCGCCUUGCAGAAUCAAGCACGUCUGGCGUACCUAGAAAAGUUGUACGAUCCCGUCUUAUCUGUGGGGUGCUGGCAAUGCAGGCGAACCCAGAGCAACGCAUCAGAAGAGAAACCGGGAACCAGGGCCCACUCUACUGCUAGCUCAGCACUUGGAGCGAGGGACAAUCCUAGGCAAAGGACAAAGGUAGUCUUCAGGGAUCUGUGUUGAUAUCAAGGGAGUGAGGAACCCUGAGUACUUUCUCUGGAGCAAGGAGGAUUCAGAAUGAGAAGUGUGUGUGAAUACAGCGCUGGUGAAAUUGCUGGAUUGAAAAACCCUGGAGAUCCAAGCCUCGGUACAACAGAGGCGUCGGCCGUGCAAGCGUCUCCCACUGUUGGACUUCACUCCCCUAUGGGUUCAUCUUUGGCCUUUCUGCUCUGACUGUUGACAGUGGACCUAGUGGCUGCAGUGGCAUUGGCUUGCUGGGAAAACACAGAACUCUGAACGUUACAGCUGUGCACAGAGCAGAUCUUGAUCAUCUUGGACUAUAAUCUCCAUGGCGUGAAAAUCUGAAGAUAUUCCGGAGUAAAAGAUUGGUUUAUUUAAAGUGACUAUUAUAUCAAAAUGGUUGGAAAACUCAAACAAAACUUGUUAUUGGCAUGUCUGGUGAUCAGCUCAGUGACAGUGUUUUAUUUGGGGCAACAUGCUAUGGAAUGUCACCACAGAAUAGAAGAACGCAGCCAGCCAGUGAGGAUGGAAAGUGGGAGAACCACAAUAAGAACUGUCUUUAACUUAAAAGCAAAUAAAACCUUUGCUUACAAUAAAGACAUGCCUUUAAUAUUUAUUGGAGGGGUGCCUCGAAGUGGCACUACACUAAUGCGUGCCAUGCUAGAUGCUCACCCCGAUAUCCGUUGUGGAGAAGAGACUAGGGUUAUCCCUCGAAUUCUGGCAGUUAAGCAGAUGUGGGCCAGAUCAAGUAAAGAGAAAAUCAGACUGGAUGAAGCUGGGGUGACAGAUGAAGUUCUGGACUCAGCCAUGCAAGCCUUUUUAUUGGAAAUCAUUGUUAAACACGGGGAACCUGCUCCCUAUUUGUGUAAUAAAGAUCCUUUUGCUCUGAAGUCCUUAACUUAUCUUGCCAGAAUUUUCCCCAAUGCCAAAUUUCUUUUAAUGGUACGGGAUGGUCGUGCAUCGGUGCAUUCCAUGAUAUCUAGAAAAGUCACCAUAGCUGGGUUUGACCUUAACAGCUACAGGGACUGUUUGACCAAGUGGAAUCGUGCUAUAGAGACUAUGUAUAACCAGUGUAUGGAGGUUGGUUUUGAAAGAUGCAUGCUGGUACACUAUGAACAACUUGUAUUGCAUCCUGAAAGGUGGAUGAGAAAUCUAUUAAAGUUUCUCCACAUUCCAUGGAACCAAGCAGUGCUACACCAUGAGGAAAUGAUUGGGAAAGCAGGUGGUGUCUCUCUUUCAAAAGUUGAAAGAUCUACAGAUCAAGUAAUCAAACCAGUCAAUGUGGAAGCUUUGUCCAAAUGGGUUGGGAAAAUACCUUCAGAUGUUCUACAAGACAUGCCAGUGAUUGCACCAAUGUUAGCGAAACUUGGCUACGAUCCAUAUGCCAAUCCACCAAAUUAUGGAAAGCCAGAUCAAAAAGUUCUUGAAAACACACGACGGGUCUAUAAAGGUGAAUUUCAGCUUCCUGAUUUUCUUAAAGAAAUGCCACAGCCAAAGAAGACAGUAGAAAGGAAGUCCCGUGGCAAGAUAAAAUGAACAUGGACCAGUAAAGUAGAGUAGCUGUGGUACCGAACCAGUGGAGUAGAAUAUCUGAUGGAUUUACCUUGCACAUAAGAUCAUUAGUGGAAGCUUCAGAGUGGAAAAUUGCAUUCUGCAUUAAUAUAUUUGGGGCUUAGGGUGGGAAAUAGAUGAAGGUAUUUAGUCCAGAUUCAAAAGUAAUAUAUAUGAGUCAAUUUGGUAUAAUUCAAUAUGCUGAGGAGCUGAAAAAGUGUAAAUUACAUCAUUUCAGGAUUGCUAGACAACCAUACAUGAUAUCACCUCUGAAUUUAAACUAUUCUCGGAUUUCUCUGCACUGUGGUACGGCUGGAAGUACAAAGGAAAAUAUAAAAUGAACAAACUAUUUGGCACUUUUUAGUAGAUCUUCAUAUUUUUAAUUUGUGUUAAAAUUAAUAUACAGGUGACAUUUGUUAAGAAUGCAUUUCAAUUUGAUGUACAAGACAAAGAUUUUUAAAAUAAACUUUUUAUAUUUUUAAAGACCGUUCUUUGGUUAAAGAGUGGGAUAAGAAAUGACCAAAAAAAAAAAAAAGGGCUAACUGUAGUUUUUUGCCUAUAGUGUCCCAUAUAUCCUGAAACAACCACAGGAAAAUUGUAUUUCUUUGAUGAAAAAUGGCCAGGAUAGGGAAUGCAUAUUUUAGUGCACUUUGUACUGGGACACUGGUGAAUGGUGAAGGCAUCGCUGCUAAUUCUAUAAUCAAUAAUAAUUUUAUUUUUAGAGCACUCCUUGCUUAAAAUAUUCUGGGUGCCCAGCAAAAUGCAACAUCCAUCUUAAAUUAAACCAAGGCAACAUAGUGUUUAUAAAUAAACAAAUAGCACAUGUACACAAAAGGAUUAUGUUGCAUUAUAAAGAAAAAUUCUGUUUGGAAAUUAUUCUUAAUUUAGAAAUCUAUGUGGAAAGCAUUCAUUUAGUAUUACAUAAAAAAAACAUUUAAAACUUUUAUGUCUCAGAUAAUUUUACUUUAAUAAAUAAUUGGCAUUGGAGUUUGAUUUAGUGCCGUUUUUUACGUUCCAAAGCAGCAAAAUCUCCUUGAAAGCAUCCUCAGAAGCAAUUUCACUGUCAAUUUGUGAUGAAAGAAAGUUGUUAAUAAAAAAAUAAUUUGCACUAUG